rnacentral:misc_RNA from 1 species
GAAAUGCGAUAAGUAGUGUGAAUUGCAGAAUUCAGUGAAUCAUCGAAUCUUUGAACGCACAUUGCGCCCCUCGGUAUUCCGUGGGGCAUGCCUGUUCGAGCGUCAUCUACACCCUCAAGCUCUGCUUGGUGUUGGGCGUCUGUCCCGCCUCCGCGCUCGGACUCGCCCCAAAUGCAUUGGCAGCGGUUCCUUGCCCCCCUCUUUGCGCAGCACAUUGCCAUUCGAGGCGGCGGCGGCCCGCGUCCAACAAGCUCAACCCCCCCGUCUUUGACCUCGGAUCAGGUAGGGAUACCCGCUGAACUUAAGC